AACUCAACUGUGUUUUCAAUUUCACCGUCACGAGUGCACUGUGCACACAGAGGAAAAUAAGAAACAACAAGAACAUAAAGAGAAAUACAUAGAAGUAAAUGUCAUUCACAUUUCUUGCCUCUGUACCCUUCUGUCCAAUUCUUUCUUCUAGAUUGAAUACAUGAAACAGACCUCCUAGACCUCUCGGAUUUGUGUAUUUGACAUGGUAGAACCUUCAGGUGCCUAGGUCAAACAAGUCAGAGAAAAAGAAGGCAGUGAAUCAACAAUGACUUAUGCAAGCCGACACUAGUUCAAAUAGGAAGGUACCGCCCAGAGAAAGCAUCAGCGAGAUUUAUUAGUACAAGUAAAAUAGUGGAGGGGCAGAAAUUGUGAAUCAGUCUGCAGGUAAUUAGUCAAAUAUUUAUAAUACUUAUUAUGAUACAAGAAGACAAAAUUAAAUUCAAUGAAUCCACACUUAUGUACAUGCUACUUAAGAUGUAGGUUCGCACAAUAUAUUACCAUUGUCUUGGAAAUAGCAAGAGAAACCUCCUCUUCAUCUCUCAAAUAUAUAUUUAAUCAGGAAAUAAGAUUUUUUUUAGCUUGUACAAAGUGAUUGCUUGUAGUUUUCCAGGAGAACAGUACUAUAAAACCUAUAUGGCGUUUUUACUGUAAUGAUAGAUAAUGGCUCAAUAAAUAACAAAUAAUAUGGAUGACAAAAAGAUCAAAUUUGAGUUUAAUUGUUCACGAGCCAAAGGUAAACAUCAUUGGAAGGAAAGGUAAAAUCCAUGUAUAGUUUGUAGAACCCUAUAUGACAAGGCCACUCUCUAUAUAUAUCUGCACAAAUGUUCACCAAUUGUAUGAUUUGAUGCCUAACAAAUAUUUAAUGUUCAGACUAAUCUUCAUGAUACCGCUUGACGUAAGCAGUAAGCUAUCUCAAAACAUAUCAACAAAGAAACAGAGCCUAACCUUGACUUUUAGGAAAAGACCUUCUGAAUUUAAUCUCACUUAGAUAAUUUAUGGUCAUGUGCAUUAGGACACACUUAGCAUAAUCU
rnacentral:lncRNA from 1 species